rnacentral:tRNA from 1 species
UCCCUGGUAGCUCAGAUGGUAAAGAAUCUGCCUGCAAUGCAGAAGACCUGGGUUCAAUCCCUGGGCUGGGAA